UACGUAGGUCGCAAGCGUUGUCCGGAUUUACUGGGCGUAAAGAGCGCGCAGGCGGCUGGUCAAGUCCGAUGUGAAAUCUCCCGGCUCAACUGGGAAACUGCAUCGGAAACUGAUCGGCUUGAAGGUGGGAGAGGGUAGUGGAAUUCCCGGUGUAGUGGUGAAAUGCGUAGAUAUCGGCAGGAACACCCAAGGGGAAGCCAGCUGACUGGCCCGGUACUGACACUCAGGGACGACAGCGUGGGGAGCGAACCGG
rnacentral:rRNA from 1 species